rnacentral:rRNA from 1 species
GACAGAGGGGGCAAGCGUUGCUCGGAAUCACUGGGCGUAAAGGGCGCGUAGGCGGGAUGGCAAGUCAGUCGUGAAAUCUCUCGGCUCAACCGAGAAACGUCGGCUGAUACUGCCGUUCUUGAGGGAUGCAGAGGAGAUUGGAAUUCCCGGUGUAGCGGUGAAAUGUGUAGAGAUCGGGAGGAACACCGGUGGCGAAGGCGGGUCUCUGGGCAUCUCCUGACGCUGAGGCGCGAAAGCGUGGGGAGCAAACGGG